rnacentral:rRNA from 1 species
CCUACGGGAGGCAGCAGUGAGGAAUAUUGGUCAAUGGUCGGGAGACUGAACCAGCCAAGCCGCGUGAGGGAUGAAGGUACAGAGUAUCGUAAACCUCUUUUGUCAGGGAACAAAGGCGGGGACGUGUCCCCGGAUGAGUGUACCUGAAGAAAAAGCAUCGGCUAACUCCGUGCCAGCAGCCGCGGUAAUACGGAGGAUGCGAGCAUUAUCCGGAUUUAUUGGGUUUAAAGGGUACGCAGGCGGUCUGUUAAGUCAGCGGUAAAAGCCCGGGGCUCAACCCCGGCCCGCCGUUGAAACUGGCAGUCUCGAGUUGGAGAGAAGUAUGCGGAAUGCGCGGUGUAGCGGUGAAAUGCAUAGAUAUCGCGCAGAACUCCGAUUGCGAAGGCAGCAUGCCGGCUCCACACUGACGCUGAGGCACGAAAGCGUGGGUAUCGAACAGGAUUAGAUACCCGUGUAGUC